AAACGACUCUCGGCAACGGAUAUCUCGGCUCACGCAUCGAUGAAGAACGUAGCAAAAUGCGAUACUUGGUGUGAAUUGCAGAAUCCCGUGAACCAUCGAGUUUUUGAACGCAAGUUGCGCCCGAAGCCAUUUGGUUGAGGGCACGUCUGCCUGGGCGUCACGCAU
rnacentral:rRNA from 1 species